rnacentral:rRNA from 1 species
UCGACGAAGCAUUUCUGCGGAAUCCCUUCGGGGAGGAAGUAGUUAUGACUGAGUGGCGGACGGGUGAGUAACGCGUGGGCAACCUGCCCCAUACCGGGGGACAACAGCUGGAAACGGCUGCUAAUACCGCAUACGUUUCGGAAACCGCAUGGUUUCUGGAAGAAAACUCCGGUGGUAUGGGAUGGGCCCGCGUCUGAUUAGCUGGUUGGCGGGGUAACGGCCCACCAAGGCGACGAUCAGUAGCCGGCCUGAGAGGGUGGCCGGCCACAUUGGGACUGAGACACGGCCCAGACUCCUGCGGGAGGCAGCAGUGGGGAAUAUUGCACAAUGGGGGAAACCCUGAUGCAGCGACGCCGCGUGAGCGAGGAAGUACCUCGGUAUGUAAAGCUCUAUCAGCAGGGAAGAAAAUGACAGUACCUGACUAAGAAGCCCCGGCUAACUACGUGCCAGCAGCCGCGGUAAUACGUAGGGGGCAAGCGUUAUCCGGAUUCACUGGGCGUAAAGGGAGCGCAGGCGGCACGGCAAGUCUGAUGUGAAAACCCAGGGCUCAACCCUGGGACUGCAUUGGAAACUGCCGGGCUGGAGUGUCGGAGGGGUAAGCGGAAUUCCUAGUGUAGCGGUGAAAUGCGUAGAUAUUAGGAGGAACACCAGUGGCGAAGGCGGCUUACUGGACGACUACUGACGCUGAGGCUCGAAAGCGUGGGGAGCAAACAGGAUUAGAUACCCUGGUAGUCCACGCCGUAAAC